rnacentral:rRNA from 1 species
GACGAACGCUGGCGGCGUGCUUAACACAUGCAAGUCGAACGGAAAGGCCCUGCUUUUGUGGGGUGCUCGAGUGGCGAACGGGUGAGUAACACGUGAGUAACCUGCCCUUGACUUUGGGAUAACUUCAGGAAACUGGGGCUAAUACCGGAUAGGAGCUCCUGCUGCAUGGUGGGGGUUGGAAAGUUUCGGCGGUUGGGGAUGGACUCGCGGCUUAUCAGCUUGUUGGUGGGGUAGUGGCUUACCAAGGCUUUGACGGGUAGCCGGCCUGAGAGGGUGACCGGCCACAUUGGGACUGAGAUACGGCCCAGACUCCUACGGGAGGCAGCAGUGGGGAAUAUUGCACAAUGGGCGGAAGCCUGAUGCAGCAACGCCGCGUGCGGGAUGACGGCCUUCGGGUUGUAAACCGCCUUCGCCUGUGACGAAGCGUGAGUGACGGUAAUGGGUAAAGAAGCACCGGCUAACUACGUGCCAGCAGCCGCGGUGAUACGUAGGGUGCGAGCGUUGUCCGGAUUUAUUGGGCGUAAAGGGCUCGUAGGUGGUUGAUCGCGUCGGAAGUGUAAUCUUGGGGCUUAACCCUGAGCGUGCUUUCGAUACGGGUUGACUUGAGGAAGGUAGGGGAGAAUGGAAUUCCUGGUGGAGCGGUGGAAUGCGCAGAUAUCAGGAGGAACACCAGUGGCGAAGGCGGUUCUCUGGGCCUUUCCUGACGCUGAGGAGCGAAAGCGUGGGGAGCGAACAGGCUUAGAUACCCUGGUAGUCCACGCUGUAAACGGUGGGUACUAGGUGUGGGGUCCAUUUCACGGGUUCCGUGCCGUAGCUAACGCUUUAAGUACCCCGCCUGGGGAGUACGGCCGCAAGGCUAAAACUCAAAGGAAUUGACGGGGCCCCGCACAAGCGGCGGAGCAUGCGGAUUAAUUCGAUGCAACGCGUAGAACCUUACCUGGGUUUGACAUGGAUCGGGAGUGCUCAGAGAUGGGUGUGCCUCUUUUGGGGUCGGUUCACAGGUGGUGCAUGCCUGUCGUCAGCUCGUGUCGUGAGAUGUUGGGUUAAGUCCCGCAACGAGCGCAACCCUUGUUCACUGUUGCCAGCACGUUAUGGUGGGGACUCAGUGGAGACCGCCGGGGUCAACUCGGAGGAAGGUGGGGAUGACGUCAAGUCAUCAUGCCCCUUAUGUCCAGGGCUUCACGCAUGCUACAAUGGCUGAUACAGAGAGUGGCGAGCCUGUGAGGGUGAGCGAAUCUCGGAAAGCCGGUCUCAGUUCGGAUUGGGGUCUGCAACUCGACCUCAUGAAGUCGGAGUCGCUAGUAAUCGCAGAUCAGCAACGCUGCGGUGAAUACGUUCCCGGGGCU